rnacentral:rRNA from 1 species
AGAGUUUGAUCCUGGCUCAGGACGAACGCUGGCGGCGUGCUUAACACAUGCAAGUCGAGCGAUGAAGCUCCUUCGGGAGUGGAUUAGCGGCGGACGGGUGAGUAACACGUGGGUAACCUGCCUCAUAGAGGGGAAUAGCCUUCCGAAAGGAAGAUUAAUACCGCAUAAGAUUGUAGUUUCGCAUGAAACAGCAAUUAAAGGAGUAAUCCGCUAUGAGAUGGACCCGCGUCGCAUUAGCUAGUUGGUGAGGUAACGGCCCACCAAGGCGACGAUGCGUAGCCGACCUGAGAGGGUGAUCGGCCACAUUGGGACUGAGACACGGCCCAGACUCCUACGGGAGGCAGCAGUGGGGAAUAUUGCACAAUGGGGGAAACCCUGAUGCAGCAACGCCGCGUGAGUGAUGACGGUCUUCGGAUUGUAAAACUCUGUCUUUGGGGACGAUAAUGACGGUACCCAAGGAGGAAGCCACGGCUAACUACGUGCCAGCAGCCGCGGUAAU